GUAAUUAUAGUUUAAAAAAACACUAGAUUAUCAACCUAGUAACAGAAGAUCAAACCUCCUUAAUUUACC
rnacentral:tRNA from 1 species